UUUCCUACGGGACGCAGCAGUGAGGAAUAUUGGUCAAUGGGCGAGAGCCUGAACCAGCCAAGUCGCGUGAAGGAUGACGGACUUAUGGGUUGUAAACUUCUUUUGUCAGGGAGCAAUUGAGUCCACGUGUGGGCUUAGCGAGAGUACCUGAAGAAAAAGCAUCGGCUAACUCCGUGCCAGCAGCCGCGGUAAUACGGAGGAUGCGAGCGUUAUCCGGAUUUAUUGGGUUUAAAGGGUGCGUAGGCGGAAUAUCAAGUCAGCGGUAAAAAUUCGGGGAUCCACCCCGUCGUGCCGUUGAAACUGAU
rnacentral:rRNA from 1 species